AAAAUUCUGGAGAAAGAAAACCGCACUGGUAUAGGGGUUCUGUUACUCUGGUUUUAUCCCCCCGACGCCUCCUCUUCCCUCCCUUGCUUCUAGGCCCAGCCAGGAGAGGCGGCGGCCGCACGCAGCGGGGGCGAGCAUUCCGUCGAGCCUGGCAGUAGCUCCCGGAGGCCCUGGCGCCCCGGCAGCAUCCAUCCUGUGAGCCGCUCCCGCUUCGCUGGCUUCGUCCUAGUCCGCAGCUGCGUCAAGGCAUACGAGUUGGGAGCUUACAUGGCUAUGCUGCCAAGUGAUUCGUCACAUCAUGGAAUUGUAGAAAAUAGCCCCUACAGAAUUACAAAGAGCGGGAAUAAGGAAGCUGGCAAACUUAGUGCUUCAUGGUAUUUCAGUAGAAAGGAAAUAGAAGAGAAUUCUCCGUCCAAGAGGGAUGGCAUUGAUUUAAAGAAAGAGACUUACCUUCGGAAAUCGUAUUGCACUUAUCUACAAGAUUUGGGGAUGCGACUCAAAGUGCCACAAGUGACAAUUGCUACAUCUAUUGUGUUCUGUCACCGUUUUUACCUUCGUCAAUCUCAUGCAAAAAAUGAUAGACGAACAAUCGCUACUGUUUGCAUGUUCUUGGCUGGAAAAGUCGAAGAAACACCUAGGCCUUUGAAGGAUGUCAUCCUGGUUUCUUACGAGCUUAUUCAUAAAAAGGAUCCUGCUGCUGGUCAGAAAAUUAAGCAGAGGGAAGUAUAUGAUCGGCAAAAAGAACUCAUUUUACUUGGGGAGCGAGUUGUACUUGCAACACUUGGUUUUGACCUUAAUGUGCACCAUCCUUACAAGCCCUUGGUUGAAACAAUAAAGAAAUUCAAGAUUACUCAUAAUGCGCUUCCUCAGGUUGCCUGGAAUUUUGUCAAUGAUGGGCUGCGCACUUCACUCUGUUUGCAAUUCAAGCCCCAUCAUAUUGCAGCAGGUGCUCUCUUUUUGGCUGGCAAGUUUCUCAAAGUGAAAUUUCUUCCAGAUGACGGUGAGAAGGCUUGGUAUCAGGAGUUUGAUGUGACACCAAGACAGCUGGAAGAGGUUAGCAAUCAAAUGUUAGAGCUGUAUGAGCAAAACCGCGUUGUACAGUCGCAACCAACAAAUGGGAAUGAAGCUGAAGGGAGCUCAGCUGGUGUGCCUAAUCAAAGGAUCUCCGUAAAAGCAGAAGCCAACUCCGAGGAACCUCCUGUUGUGCAUCAUCCAGCAUCCAAACAGUCAGAUUCCAAUCCUUCUACAUCAACAGGUGUUCCAAUUCACAAUGGUGCUGAGCACUCAAAGCCACACAAGCAGAUUGGUAGCCAGAAAAGUCUUCAAAAUGACAAUGGUGGCCAUGAAAACGACAAAACAAGCAGUCAGAGUGGAGGUAGAGUUGAUACUAGUACAAAGGAUGGUUUGCAUGAUGGCACAAAGUCCUUGCCGAGAAGUUCCAGGCCCAGCGACAAACCUGGUAUUCCAACAGAAGAGAAACCUCUUCCAUCGCAUGCUAGUUCCAGUGAAUCGAGAGAUGGUAAUCUCAGUAACAGUGGUGAUCCCAGUGUCUCAUCCUCCAUGAUGGAUGCCAUGAAUAAAAUUGACAAGGACAAGGUAAAGGCAGCUUUGGAGAAGCGAAGAAAGUUCAAAGGUGAUGUUGCUAGGAAGGUACAUGUGAUGGAUGAUGACGACCUACUUGAGAGGGAAUUAGAACAUGGUGUGGAGUUGGCUGUUGAGGAUGAGAAGAUCAAGCAGGAGAGGAACGAUUGUAGUAUGCAUCAAGAGGAUCACCGUAAUGCUGAUGGCGUUGCAGAAAAUGGGGACAACAAUGGUGAUCAGAAUGUUCCAGAGACUGCGAAAGAGGCUGAAGUUCUGGUGGACAUUAAAGAUGAGCAUUCUCUAACCAAGAGAAAUGAUGGUUUCGAGCACAAGCCGCAGCACCUAGUGAUGCACCAAAGCACAACGUGAGCCACCAUGAUGCUCAGCUUGGUGGUAGACAUGAAGAACAUAAAAUGCCUCGACCGGAAGGUUGAUGGGCCAGAAUUGAUGUGUAGAACCUACACUUGGUAGAAUUCUCGGUACGAACAUAGGCACGUGUGACUGGAGAUGUAGCUGCUCUGGACUGUUGAUGAGACAUCCAGGUCUUCAUGUUUGUACCCAGAUGUUUUUGGAACCAAUCAACUGAUUGCAGCGGAGAUUUGUUUGUGGGGCGAGGAAUCUCCUGAUAGAAGCAUCUGAUGUUUUGAUUUUAUGCGCUGUGGCAAAGUUACUAAUUCCAGUAGCCCAAUUCUUCACUUGCGGAAUUUAAGACUUGAUUGGAUCUAAAAAGCCUCAUAAUUGUAGGAAGUUCCAUAAUUGUACACGUUUUUUGUUCCAGAGCUUUUCAUUCUUAGUCAAGAUCUCAUCCAAUUUU
rnacentral:rRNA from 1 species